rnacentral:rRNA from 1 species
UACGUAGGCGGAAGAUUAAGUCAGUGGUGAAAUCCCGCAGCUCAACUGUGGAACUGUCAUUGAUACUGGUUUUCUUGAAUUUAGUUGAGGUAGGCGGAAUGUGUGAUGUAGCGGUGAAAUGCUUAGAUAUUACACAGAACACCGAUUGCGAAGGCAGCUUACUAAACUAUGAUUGACGCUGAGGUACGAAAGCGUGGGGAGCGAACAGGAUUAGAUACCCUGGUAGUCC